CCUAGGAUUGCAAACCUUGAUCUAGACACAGGGUGUUGUUGCAUAUAGUUGAGACAUUGAAUUUAGGGGGUGUAGUCAUAUUUUAGCCGUUCAUUUUAAUUCCGCAUCUUUAUCGGUUAAGUCUUGCUAGAUUUUUUAGAACCGACUAUUCAUCCCCCCUCUAGUCGGUCUCCUUGAUCCUACAAGUUUCCACAGUUCUUUGCCAGUUGACAGCGAGAGACACGUGUCCACAAGGUUUUCAAGAAGAACAUCUAUGAUGGCGCCUCGAAACAGGUUAUCGACUGCCUCGAACGCCUCUUGUGAGACCUCUUCAGGCUUCCUCUAUCCACGACAUAAAUAAUAUUCAUC
rnacentral:lncRNA from 1 species